GGCCGGGUGCGGUGGCUGACGCCUGUAAUCCCAGCACUUUGGGAAUCUGAGGUGAAUGAAUCACUUGAGGUCAGGAUUUCGAGACCAGCCUGGCCAAGAUGGUGAAAUUGUCUCUACUAAAAAUAUAAAAAUUAGCCGGGCGUGGUGGGGGGGCAUCUGAAAUACCAGAUACUCAGGAGGCUGAGGCAGGAGAAUUGCAUGAAACCGGGAGAUGGAGGCUGCAGUGAGCCGAGAUCACGCAACUGCACUCCAGCCCGGGCGACAGAGCAAGACUCCGUCUCAAAAAAAGAAGAAGAAGAAGCAGUGUGAUGAGAGAGUGGGAGGAAUUCCAAGUUCCAAGUGACAAGAUGAGGCCCUUGGCUUGAAUCUGGGGUCGGUUAUUACUGCUAACCCAGACCAAGCCCGUUCGCUCCGGAGACGUCUCUUCUCUAAGCUCUCUAUGCUCUCUAUGUCCGGGGACCCCGACCUCGCCAGACUCUAAGUGCCUGACGACAAGAAAACGUCAACUGCUCAGAAAAGCUGUUCCUCUAAGACCCCAUUGUCCUCAGAAGGAUGGAGCUACAGAGAAUCAUUGGUUCUUCAGAGGAGACACCUGUCAUCCACACAUCAGUGAGAGCUGGGACUCCUGAGGAUCUAGGCCUUGAAGGUGGGAGAGGAGCUGACAGUCGAUGGGCUCUAGGGAGGCAGCACUACGUAACAGGCCCAGGGAUGGCGACGGUUCCCACUGUGCUAGUCUGGACGCCUCAUCGUCUCUCCUGGGUGUGCCUAAUCCUGCACACACCUCUGUAAAUUGUCCCCUCAUUAAACUCUGGUUCUGUUGAAAGGUAGCAGGCUCUUCCACACCAAAUAUACCAUUUUGGCACAAGGAUUAUUUUGAGCUGAAAGCAGUUGAGAAAAAGCAGAUAGAAGAAAACCUUUCUGUUUGCCUCCAUUUGCCUAAAGCAGGAUGUAGGUGUCCCUCCUCCCCUCCCUUCUGGAAAGGACAAAGGUCAAUCAAUGAAGAUGUCUUCAGGGCCUUAUUAGACCAGAGGAAUCUACCUAACGAAUUUUACUAACCAGACUUUAUCUACCAUUAGUUUCUUGUAUAUUUGCCUUCCUACAUUUUGAGGUUCCUUAGAGGCUCAAGGUCCUUUUUGUCUUGUCACUGCUCUAAAAAUUUAAUGUGUUUUGUCAAAGAUACUAUAUAAGCUGAAAUUCUAAAUCAGCUCUUUGAGAAUUACUCAUUCCCUGGUUAUCUCCCAUGCAUAUAUGAUAUAUUCAUGUCAAUACAAUCUUGUUUUUCUCUUGUUAA